rnacentral:rRNA from 1 species
UGGGCAACCUGCCCUCAGCUCUGGGAUAACUCCAAGAAAUUGGGGCUAAUACCGGAUAUGACUGCUGACCGCAUGGUCUGGUGGUGGAAAGAUUUAUCGGCUGGGGAUGGGCCCGCGGCCUAUCAGCUUGGUUGGUGGGGUAGUGGCCUACCAAGGCGACGACGGGUAGCUGGUCUGAGAGGAUGGCCAGCCACAUUGGGACUGAGACACGGCCCAGACCUCCGUAGGGAGG